CAGAUGUGGUCGCGGCCCUCGGGGGUUCUCUCCCGGGUGGUAGGGGUAACACCCUCACGCACCGCAUUUCUGAAUCCUUUUUUUACGAGCACCUUCGUUCUCCUUCGGCGGGGUAACCUGCCGUUGGAACCAACAAAACCUUUUUUGCAUCUAGCAUUACCUGUUCUGAUACAAAUAAUCGUUACAACUUUCAACAAUGGAUCUCUUGGCUCUGGCAUCGAUGAAGAACGCAGCGAAAUGCGAUAAGUAGUGUGAAUUGCAGAAUUCAGUGAAUCAUCGAAUCUUUGAACGCACAUUGCGCCCCUUGGUAUUCCAUGGGGCAUGCCUGUUCGAGCGUCAUCUACACCCUCAAGCUCUGCUUGGUGUUGGGCGUCUGUCCCGCCUUCGUGCGCGGACUCGCCCCAAAUUCAUUGGCAGCGGUCUUUGCCUCCUCUCGCGCAGCACAAUUGCGUUGUAAGGGGGCGUGGCCCGCAUCCACGAAGCAACAUUACCGUCUUUGACCUCGGAUCAGGUAGGGAUACCCGCUGAACUUAAGCAUAUCAAUAAGGCGGAGGAA
rnacentral:rRNA from 1 species